rnacentral:rRNA from 1 species
GAUGAACGCUGGCGGCGUGCCUAAUACAUGCAAGUCGAGCGAACAGAUGAGGAGCUUGCUCCUCUGACGUUAGCGGCGGACGGGUGAGUAACACGUGGAUAACCUACCUAUAAGACUGGGAUAACUUCGGGAAACCGGAGCUAAUACCGGAUAAUAUAUUGAACCGCAUGGUUCAAUAGUGAAAGACGGUUUUGCUGUCACCUAUAGAUGGAUCCGCGCCGCAUUAGCUAGUUGGUAAGGUAACGGCUUACCAAGGCAACGAUGCGUAGCCGACCUGGGAGGGUGAUCGGCCACACUGGAACUGAGACACGGUCCAGACUCCUACGGGAGGCAGCAGUAGGGAAUCUUCCGCAAAGGGCGAAAGCCUGACGGAGCAACGCCGCGUGAGUGAUGAAGGUCUUCGGAUCGUAAAACUCUGUUAUUAGGGAAGAACAAAUGUGUAAGUAACUAUGCACGUCUUGACGGUACCUAAUCAGAAAGCCACGGCUAACUACGUG